rnacentral:rRNA from 1 species
CCUACGGGCGGCAGCAGUGAGGAAUAUUGGUCAAUGGACGAGAGUCUGAACCAGCCAAGUAGCGUGAAGGAUGACUGCCCUAUGGGUUGUAAACUUCUUUUAUAUGGGAAUAAAACGUUCCACGUGUGGGAUUUUGUAUGUACCAUAUGAAUAAGGAUCGGCUAACUCCGUGCCAGCAGCCGCGGUAAUACGGAGGAUCCGAGCGUUAUCCGGAUUUAUUGGGUUUAAAGGGAGCGUAGGUGGAUGGUUAAGUCAGUUGUGAAAGUUUGCGGCUCAACCGUAAAAUUGCAGUUGAAACUGGCAGUCUUGAGCACAGUAGAGGUAGGCGGAAUUCGUGGUGUAGCGGUGAAAUGCUUAGAUAUCACGAAGAACUCCGAUUGCGAAGGCAGUUCACUGGACUGCAACUGACACUGAGGCUCGAAAGUGUGGGUAUCAAACAGGAUUAGAUACCCCUGUAGUC